GAGGGUAUAGCUCAAGUGGCAGAGCACAUGUUUACUAUGCCUGAGGUCCUGGGUUCAAUCCCCAGUACCUCCU
rnacentral:tRNA from 1 species